CCUUUGUCUUAUGAUCCUGUGUUGGGUUGAACCUGAGUUGAUGGACAGUUUUUUAGACUAAUGACGCUUCUCACAAUUUACGUAUUUAAACCACACAGAAGGGCGGGAACGGCCUUUGGUCCAAGCUCACCUGCCAGAAGGUGGGGGGGUCUCCGAGCCUCCGGGCCCUGCCGGGCCGGGGCCCCUGUCCCCCCUUUCCCAACACUGCGGCACAGACCCUGGGCCACUGGGGAGGAACCGCAGGCCGCUGGGUCCCAGAGCCGCAGGCAGCUAAA